rnacentral:misc_RNA from 1 species
CAGAGUUGUAAAACUCCAAACCCAUGUGAACAUACCUCGUGUUGCCUCGGCGGCGAGCGUAGCGCCCGGUAGGUGCCUACCCGGUACCUACCCUGGAGCUACCCGGUAGUAACCUACCCGGUAGCUACCCUGAAGGGGCUUGCGCAUCCGCCGGAGGACCACUUAAACUCUUGUUUCUGUGUGGCACAUCUGAGUUAUUAUACUUAAUAAGUCA